CUGCUUCUUCUGCCACCGGCCUGGUACUAACCAUCUAACCAAUAUUAACCUAUUCAAUCAUAAUUAUAAUCUCAAACACUUCUAUAUAGAUUUUGAUGGUUUUAUUUGCUUAUGCGUCUAUAGUAACGCCAUUAUUCACAAAAGUAUUCAUUAGAAAACAUGUGAAGAACCAAAAUCCGAAACUUUUAAGUAACCAAUGAUGAGAUCAAAUAAAAUACAUUUAACAUUACUUGUGUGUUUUAAAUAUGUAGUUGCCACUAGCUGAGGCCGUGCUCGGCCUUGCAAUAACCCAUUCCGAGAAGACAGCCGUUUUCGCGGCUGAGGUGGCCAAAAAGGAUGCUACAUUGAAGACAUCGUUCAACGAGUCCCACAACGCGUAUGUUGGUAUUGUGGCGUCUCUAAAGAGUGCAAAACUAGAACUCGUGGAUUCACCAGACACUGCCAACUACGACGUCAUGGUCUCUGGCGAUGAAAUAAGGCGUGUUAGGGGUUUGGUCGAGAAAAACACCGACCCGUCUUCAAAGACGCUCAUGGAGAUGACUUUGCAGAUGGAGAAGCUUCUUGAUCUCGCUGCUGGAGCCACCGAUGCCGUUGACGACGACGAUGAGAACUUACAUCGUCGUGCUUGAUGUUUUAACUAAGUUUGGUUUUUGGUUUACUUUUGUUAAGAAAGCAUGCAUGGAUUCAAAGGGACAUAUGAAAACUAUUUGUCCCUUAUAAUUGAAUCUUAGGAUAAUUUCAAAUUGUAAUUUGUGAUAUUAAUGUCGAAGCAAUUAUUUUUUUAUACAUGCAAAGCGUAAAUACCGUAGUUGGCGUAUUUUUAUACAUGCAAGCGUAAAUACCGUAGUUGGCUUUACAAUGUUUACUAGUAUUUGUGUCCUCGUUUUCAUUUCAUCGCCUUCGAAGAUAUAUGUAGAGAAUUAUUUUUUUAAGACAUAAAUUAUCUACCCAGUCAUAUAAAAGAGUAUAAAACAUAAAUAACUACACAGGUAACCAGAUGUAAAAAUCAGGUAAAAAUCUAGUGGUCUCUACAAUUCCAGUGAUUUUUGGGACGAAAGCGCGAAACCACAUGACAUGCUUUGGUUUCUGAACCAUUAAAAAAAAUAAAACAACUAGUUUUUGGUAGAUAAAAUGAAAUUUCUAAGAAAUAAAUUUAGAUUCAAAUUAUGUUGGAAUUAUAAGAAUGAUGGUUACUAUAAGAAAAUGGACGAGAAAUAGUAAAAAAUACAAAAGAAAAAUGAUGAAAAUGAUGAAGUCAUGAAACUCUAGAGGGGGAAGCACACAAUUCGGUGUGGGAAAAUAAAUAAAAGUUUUGACCAAAAUCUUGUCCAAAUUCCCAUAAUUUUUCUCUAUAUAACAAUUUAUAUUAAAAAAAAAAUAAGUGGGUUCUUGCAUGCAUAUCCAAAUUUACAAAAAUAAAGUGGCCACUGUUUUUUCAUGUCAUAUGUUGUGUUUGUGAAUAAUUAUUUUUUCAAAAAGGGUAUAAUGGUUUAUUUUCCACCUUACAUAUGCCAUUGAUCUAAUUUUAGGUCAUUUUAUGGUCAUUCACCAAAUUCUCCGAAAAAAAAGAUAAUAACAAUAAGUUCAACCAAAUACUGUCAUCCAUCUUUAUUUUGUAAUUUCUAUAAAGAGUAAUAAAAGAAAACCAGAAAUUCUAAAGAGAACGUAAAUGGGAACAAAAUCUUAAACUUUGACCAAUCUUGAAGCAAAUGGGCCAAAGCUGUACUGUGUAUCUGUUAUGCGUGCAAGUGUUAUAUAAACCAAACCACAAUUGUUGAACAAGAAAGUACCAAAAUCAAAAUUUUAACUAAAGAAAUGGCUUCUUCUUCCUGUUGUAUUGGCCUCCUUUCUCUUGUAGUUCUGUUACCAUUUCUCUUAGUCUCUGCUUCGGCCACAAAAUACAUCGACGCCAUAUGCCAACGUACCAGUACUACCCACAAAGCCUUCUGCGUCAAAACUUUGAACGCAUACCCUUCUGCGGCUUCUGCCACCAGCACGGUACGUACCAAUACAUAUUUUCCAAAGCCAAAUAGAUAGAGUUUAUAUAACUUGUUAGACCAUAAACAUUAGCGUAUCUAGGCCCAGUCCCACACCUAAAAGAAAAGGAAAAAAAAAAAAAAAUUGAGGCGGGACGUACGCAGAAUUGCGACGGUCCUUCCUCUUAUUUGCGGACCCCACUGACACAUGGCGGCCCGCAAUUGGUUAACUUUAUAUUUUUUUUUUAAAUUGAAAAAAAAGAAAAAAAAGAACGUGACAAAAAUGUGUCCUAACCAAUGUGGAUGCCCUUACUUUCCAACGGUUCUUGUUUCUUCUUGACCGAUCAUAUAUUUUCUUGAAAAUUGUCAGUUAAAGUUUUGAAGUUAUAUUUUUAAUUUGAAUCUGUAAAUGUUAUUCGUAGUUAGCGUCUCGAAAAUUCUAAAGAUUUCGUGUUUUAGAUUUCUUAAAUACAAGUAUCUCCAUGUCUUAUUCUCAAUCAUUAUUAUUUGGAUAUGUACGUAGUUCCAAGCGGCUGGGGCUACGCUCAACCUCGCCAUAUCUUAUGCCCAUAGGUAUGCGGUUUUUGCGGGAAAAGUGGCAAAGGAGAAUCCAAAAUUGAAGAAGGAUUUUGCGACGAUUCAGGAUGCCUUCAUGACCAUUAGCAUGUCUCUCAAAAGUGCUAAACUUGAACUCAAGGAUUCGCCGGACACCGCCAACUAUGACGUCAUGGUUUGUACCGACAGCACAAUGAUAGUGAAGAACUUGAUCGGUAAAAAUACAGACAAGGUGUCGAAGACUGUCAUGUUGAUGACACUAAAGAUGGAGAAGCUUCUUGCUAUGGCCGUUGGAGCCACCGUAGCUGUUGGCGGGUAAAGACGACGAUAAGAACACAUACCAUCGUCAGAUUUGUCAUAUUUAGUUUACUCUAUAUUUAGUUUACUUUUGAGUAUAAGGUUGUUGUUAUUUAAUUCUAGAGGAUGUGAUGUUCUGUUUUCUAUGAGGAUCAAAACAUUUCUCUUCGAUAGAACAUAUGCAUGUCUUGAAAACCCAACUACGACGUCAUGGUCUCUGGCGAUGAAAUAAG
rnacentral:lncRNA from 1 species